rnacentral:rRNA from 1 species
GACGAACGCUGGCGGCGUGCUUAACACAUGCAAGUCGAACGGAAAGGCCCUGCUUUUGUGGGGUGCUCGAGUGCCGAACGGGGGAGUAACACGUGAGUAACCUGCCCUUGACUUUGGGAUAACUUCAGGAAACUGGGGUUAAUCCCGGAUAGGAGCCCCUGUUGCAUGGUGGGGGUGGGAAAGUUUCGGCGGUUGGGGAUGGACUCGCGGCUUACCAGCUGGUUGGUGGGGUAGUGGCUUACCAAGGCUUUGACGGGUAGCCGGCCUGAGAGGGUGACCGGCCACAUUGGGACUGAGAUACGGCCCAGACUCCUACGGGAGGCAGCAGUGGGGAAUAUUGCACAAUGGGCGGAAGCCUGAUGCAGCAACGCCGCGUGCGGGAUGACGGCCUUCGGGUUGUAAACCGCUUUCGCCUGUGACGAAGCGUGAGUGACGGUAAUGGGUAAAGAAGCACCGGCUAACUACGUG